rnacentral:rRNA from 1 species
CCAUGCAGUCGAGGGGCAUCACAUGAAGUAGCAAUACGGAUGGUGGCGACCGGCGCACGGGUGAGUAACACGUAUGCAACCUGCCUUCAACAAGGGGAUAACCCGUUGAAAGACGGACUAAUACCCUAUAACACAGGGGUCCCGCAUGGGAAUAUUUGUUAAAGGACAACCGGUUGAAGAUGGGCAUGCGUUCCAUUAGCUAGUUGGCGGGGUAAGGGCCCACCAAGGCAACGAUGGAUAGGGGAACUGAGAGGUUUAUCCCCCACACUGGUACUGAGACACGGACCAGACUCCUACGGGAGGCAGCAGUGAGGAAUAUUGGUCAAUGGACGCAAGUCUGAACCAGCCACGUCGCGUGAAGGAAGACGGCCCUACGGGGUUGUAAACUUCCUUUUAUACGGGGAAUUAAGUGCCCCACGCGGUGGGG